AAACGCUUGAAGUCAGUCGCGUCUGCUGGAACUCAGCCUUGCUUCUGCUUGGUGCACUUUCCAGUCUGACGGGUCAGCAUCGGUUUCUGGGUCGGACAAACGCGGGAGGAAGGUGGCGGCUCCGGCCGCGUUAUAGCCUCCCGUUGCACAACGACCCGAGGGACCGAGGAAUCCGGCGCUUGCGCCUGGGAUGCUGGCGUAAUGGCUUUAAGCGA
rnacentral:rRNA from 1 species